rnacentral:rRNA from 1 species
UACGGGGGGGGGCAAACGUUGUUCGGAAUUACUGGGCGUAAAGCGCGUGUAGGCGGCCCUGCAAGUCGGGUGUGAAAUCCCACGGCUCAACCGUGGAAGUGCACUCGAAACUGCAGGGCUAGAAGUCCGGAAGAGGAGAGUGGAAUUCCUGGUGUAGCGGUGAAAUGCGCAGAUAUCAGGAGGAACACCGGUGGCGAAGGCGGGUCUCUGGGCCGAUACUGACGCUGAGGAGCGAAAGCGUGGGGAGCGAACAGG